AGCGAACGCUGGCGGCAGGCCUAACACAUGCAAGUCGAACGAACUCUUCGGAGUUAGUGGCGGACGGGUGAGUAACACGUGGGGACGUGCCUUUUGGUUCGGAAUAACUCAGGGAAACUUGUGCUAAUACCGAAUGUGCCCUUCGGGGGAAAGAUUUAUCGCCAUUAGAGCGGCCCGCGUCUGAUUAGCUAGUUGGUGAGGUAACGGCUCACCAAGGCGACGAUCAGUAGCUGGUCUGAGAGAAUGACCAGCCACACUGGGACUGAGACACGGCCCAGACUCCUACGGGAGGCAGCAGUGGGUAAUCUUGCGCAAUGGGCGAAAGCCUGACGCAGCCAGGCCGCGUGAAUGAUGAAGGUCUUAGGAUUGUAAAAUUCUUUCACCGGGGACGAUAAUGACGGUACCCGGAGAAGAAGCCCCGGCUAACUUCGUG
rnacentral:rRNA from 1 species